rnacentral:rRNA from 1 species
AGUGAACGCUGGCGGUAGGCCUAACACAUGCAAGUCGAACGGCAGCACAGUAAGAGCUUGCUCUUACGGGUGGCGAGUGGCGGACGGGUGAGGAAUACAUCGGAAUCUACUUUUUCGUGGGGGAUAACGUAGGGAAACUUACGCUAAUACCGCAUACGACCUACGGGUGAAAGCAGGGGAUCUUCGGACCUUGCGCGAUUGAAUGAGCCGAUGUCGGAUUAGCUAGUUGGCGGGGUAAAGGCCCACCAAGGCGACGAUCCGUAGCCGGUCUGAGAGGAUGAUCAGCCACACUGGAACUGAGACACUGUCCAGACUCCUACGGGAGGCAGCAGUGGGGAAUAUUGGACAAUGGGCGCAAGCCUGAUCCAGCCAAACCGCGUGGGUGAAGAAGGCCUUCGGGUUGUAAAGCCCUUUUGUUGGGAAAGAAAAGCAGCAGGUUAAUACCCCGCUGUUCUGACGGUACCCAAAGAAUAGGCACCGGCUAACUUCG